rnacentral:rRNA from 1 species
GACGAACGCUGGCGGCGUGCCUAAUACAUGCAAGUCGAACGCUGAAGGAGGAGCUUGCUCGUCUGGAUGAGUGGCGAACGGGUGAGUAACGCGUAGGUAACCUGCCUGGUAGCGGGGGAUAACUAUUGGAAACGAUAGCUAAUACCGCAUAACAGUAGAUGCUGCAUGACAUUUGCUGGAAAGGUGCAAUUGCAUCACUACCAGAUGGACCUGCGUUGUAUUAGCGAGUGGGAGGGGUAACGGCUCACCAAGGCGACGAUACAUAUCCGACCUGCGAGGGGGGUCAGCCACACUGGGACUGAGACACGGCCCAGACGCCUACGGGAGGCAGCAGUAGGGAAUCUGCGGCAAUGGGCGGAAGUCUGACCGAGCAACGCCGCGUGAGUGUAGAAGGUUUUCGGGUCGUAAAUCUCUGUUGUCAGAGAAGAACGAGUGUGAGAGUGGAAAGUUCACACUGUGACGGUAUCUUACCAGAAAGGGACGGCUAACUACGUG